CCUACGGGUGGCAGCAGUGGGGAAUAUUGCGCAAUGGGCGAAAGCCUGACGCAGCGACGCCGCGUGAGGGAUGAAGGUCUUCGGAUCGUAAACCUCUGUCAGCAGGGAAGAACGGUCACUGUGCUAAUCAGCAGUGAAUUGACGGUACCUGCAAAGGAAGCACCGGCUAACUCCGUGCCAGCAGCCGCGGUAAUACGGAGGGUGCGAGCGUUAAUCGGAAUUACUGGGCGUAAAGCGCUCGUAGGCGGUAUGUCAAGUCAAGGGUGAAAUCCCCGCGCUCAACGUGGGAACUGCCUUUGAAACGGGCAAACUGGAGUGUGUGAGAGGAUGGUGGAAUUCCAGGGGUAGGAGUGAAAUCCGUAGAUAUCUGGAGGAACAUCGGUGGCGAAGGCGACUAUCUGGAACAUAACUGACGCUGAGGAGCGAAAGCGUGGGUAGCAAACAGGAUUAGAUACCCGUGUAGUC
rnacentral:rRNA from 1 species